rnacentral:sRNA from 1 species
UGCAACAGAUAUAGCAGGAUGGACCGAG